UCUCUCUCACGCACGCGCACGCACACACACAUACAUGCAUAUACAUAUAUAUAUAUAUACACAUAUAUCAUAUACAUAUAUAUAUAUGUAUAUAUACAUAUAUACGUAUAUAUGUAUAUAUACAUAUAUACGUAUAUACAUAUAUACACACACAUAUAUAUCACAUACUGUAUAUACACAUAUGUUCGAAUGGUAUAUAUGUAUGUAUAUAUAUAUGUACACAUAUAUAUAUAUAUGUAUAUAUACAUACAUAUAUGUGUAUAUACACAAGAUUUUAAAUCCCAUAGGACAGAGAUGUCCCAGUACCUUCAUGGAACAAGAUGCCCC
rnacentral:lncRNA from 1 species